rnacentral:misc_RNA from 1 species
AAGAUUAUUGAUUGAAAGCUCAUUGAUACAUAAUGGUAGACGCUUUCCAAUAGAAGAUACGAGACAAAAGCACAUAGCAUUGCCAUCCAGAGACAGAUCCAAACAAUUUUAAGAAAUUAUUAGGAAGAUGAGGACACACAAGUGACCAAAUGACACGUCUAGUAACUGCAAAUUCGCAAUGGAUCUAUCACAUAAUGUCAAAUUACAGCAUUAGUACCUUGCCCAAACUCAUCUGCAGAAAAGUUUAAAUCCCUAACAUGACAAAACUAAAUUGCCUAU